rnacentral:rRNA from 1 species
UACGUAGGAGGCGAGCGUUGUCCGGAAUUACUGGGCGUAAAGAGCGCGUAGGCGGCGCUGUACGACCCGUGUGAAAGCCCCCCGGCUCAACUGGGGGAGGGUCACGGGUAACGGCAGUGCUCUGAGUGCAGGAGAGGGAAGUGGAACUCCGGGAGUAGCGGUGAAAUGCGUAGAGACCCGGAGGAACACCGGGUGGCGAAGGCGGCUUCCUGGUCUGCAACUGACGCUGUGGCGCGAAAGCUAGGGGAGCAAACGGGG